rnacentral:tRNA from 1 species
GGGGUUGUGGCUUAGUGGUAGAGCACUUGCCUCACAUGUAUGAGGCCCUGGGUUCAAUCCUCAGCACCA